rnacentral:tRNA from 1 species
AGCCCCGUGGUGCACAAGCAUGUUGGAUUGCAAACCCAAAGGAGCGGCUUGACGGCCGCCGGGGCUU